rnacentral:piRNA from 1 species
UGACUGGAAGUCACAGUGGCGGGCGGGUGU